rnacentral:rRNA from 1 species
AAAGUCCCCUUCGGGGGACAAGUAGAGUGGCGCACGGGUGAGUAACACGUAGGUAAUCUACCUUCGGAUGGGGAAUAACAAUCGGAAACGAUUGCUAAUACCGCAUAAUGCAGCGGCACCUAAUGGUGACAGUUGUUAAAGCGGGGGAUCGAAAGACCUCGCGUCUGAAGAGGAGCCUGCGGCGGAUUAGCUAGUUGGUAAGGUAAUGGCUUACCAAGGCAACGAUCCGUAACCGGCCUGAGAGGGCGGUCGGUCACACUGACACUGACAUACGGGUCAGACUCCUACGGGAGGCAGCAGUCGGGAAUUUUGGGCAAUGGGCGAAAGCCUGACCCAGCAACGCCGCGUGAAGGAUGAAAUCCCUCGGGAUGUAAACUUCGCAAGAACGGGAAGAAUAAGUAGGGGACAAUACCCCCUAUGAUGACGGUACCGUUUGUAAGCUCCGGCUAACUCCGUGCCAGCAGCCGCGGUAAUACGGGGGGAGCAAGCGUUGUUCGGAUUUACUGGGCGUAAAGGGCGCGUAGGCGGCCAGCACAAGUCAGUUGUGAAAUCUCCGAGCUUAACUCGGAAAGGUCAACUGAUACUGUGCGGCUAGAGUGCGGAAGGGGCAACUGGAAUUCUUGGUGUAGCGGUGAAAUGCGUAGAUAUCAAGAGGAACACCUGCGGCGAAGGCGGGUUGCUGGGCCGACACUGACGCUGAGGCGCGAAAGCCAGGGGAGCGAACGGGAUUAGAUACCCCGGUAGUCCUGGCCUUAAACGAUGAAUGCUUGGUGUCUGGGGUUAUAUAGUCCCCGGGUGCCGUC